GCUGGGCGUGGUGGCUUAUACUUGUAAUCCAAGCACCUUGGAAGUCUGAGGCAGGUGGAUCACCUGAGGUCAGGAGUUCAGGACCAGCCUGGCCAACAUGGUGAAACCCCAUCUCCACUAAAGAUACAAAAAAACAAAAAAAAAUAACUGGGCAUGGNNNNNNNNNNCCAUGCCCAGUUAUUUUUUUUUGUUUUUUUGUAUCUUUAGUGGAGAUGGGGUUUCACCAUGUUGGCCAGGCUGGUCCUGAACUCCUGACCUCAGGUGAUCCACCUGCCUCAGA
rfam:Gorilla gorilla gorilla genomic chromosome, chr9, whole genome shotgun sequence